UACGUAGGGUGCAAGCGUUGUCCGGAAUCAUUGGGCGUAAAGCGCACGUAGGCGGCCUGUUAAGUCGGAUGUGAAAUCCCUCGGCUCAACCGAGGACGUGCAUUCGAAACUGGCAGCUCGAGUAUGGAAGAGGGUCGCGGAAUUCCCGGUGUAGAGGUGAAAUUCGUAGAUAUCGGGAGGAACACCAGUGGCGAAGGCGGCGACCUGGGCCAAUACUGACGCUGAGGUGCGAAAGCG
rnacentral:rRNA from 1 species